UCGACUCAACGCCGGGAAACUCACCAGAUAAGACAGCUGAAUGAUAGUCGGGCUGAAGACUCUACUUGACUAGCUGAGAGGAGGUGCAUGGCCGUCGUCAGUUCGUACUGUGAAGCAUCCUGUUAAGUCAGGCAACGAGCGAGACCCACGCCAACAGUUGCCAGCUCGUCCUCCGGGAUGGUGGGGACACUGUUGGGACCGCCUCUGCUAAAGAGGAGGAAGGAAUGGGCAACGGUAGGUCAGCAUGCCCCGAAUUAUCUGGGCUACACGCGGGCUACAAUGGGUGGGACAAUGGGUAUCGACACCGAAAGGUGAAGGCAAUCUCCUAAACCCAUCCGUAGUUCGGAUUGUGGGCUGCAACUCGCCCACAUGAAGCUGGAAUCCGUAGUAAUCGCGUUUCAACAGAACGCGGUGAAUACGUCCCUGCUCCUU
rnacentral:rRNA from 1 species